rnacentral:rRNA from 1 species
UCCUACGGGAGGCAGCAGGAGGGAAUCUUGCGCAAUGGGCGAAAGCCUGACGCAGCGACGCCGCGUGGGGGAUGAAUGCCUUAGGGUUGUAAACCCCUUUCACGAGGGAAGAAACUGACGGUACCUCGAGAAGAAGCCCCGGCCAACUACGUGCCAGCAGCCGCGGUAAUACGUAGGGGGCGAGCGUUGUCCGGAUUUAUUGGGCGUAAAGGGCUCGUAGGCGGCUUGGCAAGUCGGCCGUGAAAACCCAGGGCUCAACUCUGGGACGCCGGUCGAUACUGCCAUGGCUAGGGUCCGGUAGAGGGGAAUGGAAUUCCCGGUGUAGCGGUGAAAUGCGCAGAUAUCGGGAGGAACACCAGUAGCGAGGGCGGUUCCCUGGGCCGGCACCGACGCUGAGGAGCGAAAGCGUGGGGAGCAAACAGGAUUAGAUACCCUGGUAGUCCACGCCGUAAACGUUGGGUACUAGGCGUGGCGUCUUAUCAACGGAUGCCGUGCUCGAAGCUAACGCGUUAAGUACCCCGCCUGGGGAGUACGGCCGCAAGGCUAAAACUCAAAGGAAUUGACGGGGA